UCCCACUCCUUUUGCAGGCUUUCAACACCUUCAUUGAUGAUGUCUUCGCCUUCAUCAUCACCAUGCCCACGUCUCACCGGCUGGCCUGCUUCAGGGACGAUGUGGUGUUUCUGGUCUACCUGUACCAGCGGUGGCUUUAUCCUGUGGAUAAGAGCAGAGUGAACGAGUUCGGGGAGUCGUACGAGGAGCGGCCCCGGCGGAAGUCCCACGCGGACUGAAGGCUGUCCUGGGCUGCUGGGUGGGCGGUGAGUCCCUGGAAGCGCCACCUCUUCACGUUGCCAAACCUCUCAGCAUCCCCCGAGCUCCCUCCCCCGGAGCACACGCCUGAGCACCGCGAGGGGCGGCGCUCCUGCUCUGGCCCGCGCGCCCCGCCCACCUCCACGGCGGAGCCCCGGGGAGAGGCCGGGUUUCCAUUUCAAGUUGUUUUUUAAGUGCUUCUUAGUGAAUUUCAAAUGCAUAUGGAAAUCAAUUCCAUAUGAACUCUGGGAUCAAAUGGCUCUUUCCCUCUUGUUUGAAAUUUGAUUGUUUUCAGCUUAAUGUAUGUAUGUUUCUAUUUUAAAAUAAAUUUCUCUGGCUGUGA